AUACGGAGGGUCCGAGCGUUAUCCGGAAUCAUUGGGUUUAAAGGGUCCGUAGGCGGGAAUCUAAGUCAGUGGUGAAAUCUUGCAGCUCAACUGUAAAAUUGCCAUUGAUACUGGAUUUCUUGAAUUAGUGUGAAGUGGUUAGAAUGUGUAGUGUAGCGGUGAAAUGCAUAGAUAUUACACAGAAUACCAAUUGCGAAGGCAGAUCACUAACACUAUAUUGACGCUAAGGGACGAAAGCGUGGGGAGCGAACAGGAUUAGAAACCCCUUAGUCC
rnacentral:rRNA from 1 species